GAGGAAAGGGUGGAGCAGAAAGGUUGACAGGAUGAGAGAUGCCAUAAUAGAGGGAAGCCUUAUAGGUUCUAGGAGUGAUCUGGCACUUGGGAGAUUUCCAGAGAUCUACCUGAGGACACCAACUAACAAUCUAGGCAAUGGUGGAGAGGCUACCCUAAAUGCCCUUCCCCUAUAAUGAGACUGAUCACUGCCAUAUAUGCCAUGAUAGAGCCCUCAUCCUGUAGGUGACGGAGGCAGAGGCAGCCACCCACAGCUAAACACUGAAUUGAACUAUUGGACCAUGUGCAGAUUGGGAGGAGUGAUGUAAUAGGACAGGACCAGGCUGGGGAAACCCACAGAAGCAGCUGACCUGAACAAGGGGGAGCACAUGGACAUCAGACUGAUUUCUGAGAGGCCAGCAAGUAUCUGAUCCAGACAUCACAAUGUGUAAGUCAAUGUGGAGGCCUUGGCACUCUAUGCGGCCCCUGGAAGUGGAUCAGUAUUUACCCAUGGCAUGAGAAUGGAAUUUGGUAGCACAUCCCAAAUGGAGGGAUGCUCUCUCAGCCUGGACACAUGGGGAAGGCCAAGGCCCUAAUCAGGAUGAUAUGACAGACUUUGAGGAACCCCCAGAGAGAGACUUACCCUCCCUGGGGAGCAGAGGAGGAAUGAGGAGGGUGGCUAGUGGGUGAUGGAGUGAAGGGGAAGCUGAGAGUGAAGAGAUUGACAUGUAAAGCAGGAUUGUUUCUAAUUUGAACUAAUAAAAAAUAAUCUCUUGGGAAAAAAUCUAAUUUAUCCAGAGUCACUCAAAGUUAAUCCUUGAUACCUUCCAACCUUAAAGUGGAACUUUGUUUUGUUUGUUCCAGACAAGAAUUCCCUGUAUAACUGUCUAGGUUGUCAUAGAACUCACUGUGUAGAGAAUGCUACCCUAGAACUCACUAAGAUCUGCCUAUCUCUACUUUAAUCCCAAAUGCUGUAAUUAAAGGAGUGUAACACACUGUCCCACCUUAAAAUGGAACAUAUUCUCAUUUCUUUUAAUUUUCUAUUCAUUUCUUCCUUCCUUCUUACAUGUUUUCAAUGUAAUUUUGAUAAAAAGGACAUUUCCACCACAAACCAUGGAGCUAUUUGUGAUUUAUGGCUGCUUGAAGAGAUCAAAUCAAUUUUACUCAGUGUAGUGGACCAUUGGCCCUGUAAUGAGACAAAGG
rnacentral:lncRNA from 1 species